rnacentral:rRNA from 1 species
UUUUCAGUAUCGCAGCGAAAGCGAUAAACACACCGCCUGGGGAGUACGACCGCAAGGUUAAAACUCAAAUGAAUUGACGGGGACCCGCACAAGUAGUGGAGCAUGUGGUUUAAUUCGAAGAUACGCGCAGAACCUUACCAACACUUGACAUGUUCGUCGCGACUCUAAGAGAUUAGAGUUUUCGGUUCGGCCGGACGGAACACAGGUGCUGCAUGGCUGUCGUCAGCUCGUGUCGUGAGAUGUUGGGUUAAGUCCCGCAACGAGCGCAACCCUUACUUUUAGUUGCCACCAUUUAGUUGGGCACUCUGAAAGAACUGCCAGUGAUAAGCUGGAGGAAGGUGGGGAUGACGUCAAGUCCUCAUGGCCCUUACGUGUUGGGCUACACACGUGCUACAAUGGCAUUUACAAUAGGAAGCAAGACGGCGACGUUAAGCAAAUCCUAAAAAAAUGCCUCAGUUCGGAUUGUACUCUGCAACUCGAGUACAUGAAGCUGGAAUUACUAGUAAUCGCGGAUCAGCGCGCCGCGGUGAAUGCGUUCCCGGGUCUUGUACACACCGCCCGUCACACCAUGGGAGUUGGUUCUACCUUAAGGCAAAGCUUAAAACCUUUGACCACGGUAUAGUCAGCGACUGGGGUGAAGUCGUAACAAGGUAGCCGUAGGGGAACCUGCGGCUGGAUUACCUCCUU